AAACAGGUAAUAGGUUGAUUUGUCCUAGAUUAUUAUCAUUUUUUAAUAAAAUAGAUUGUGAUAGUUUAAAAACAGUAUUUUAUAUACACCACAUUUUGUUUAUUCAUUCACCUAUUGAUGGGCAUUUAAUUUCCACACCUGAAGGUUGUUUUCAAUUCUUUGUUUUAGUUGCAAGAAACCCAGGAUCAACUCACAGAGACUCUAAGAUAUGAUGAGGAGAUUCCAGACAACGUGCAAAACAGGUGUGCAAGAAAACAUAACUGCAGAAGUAGAUGAAGAGUUACUGUGUAUUUAUGUGUCAUCUACAUGCCAUGGAAGUCUUAAAAUCAGUUGUCAGUUUCUACAAAAUACCUGCUUGGAUUUGGACUGGGAUUGCAUUAUGUCAUAGGAAAGAAUGAACAUCUUAAUAAUGUUGAGUUUUUCAACCUAUGAAUAAGGUGUUUUCUUAGAACUUAUUUGAUUUUUCUCCUCAAUACUUUUUGGUUAUCGUUGUACAGGUAUUUUGCAUAGUAUGUCAGAUAUAUUCCCAAGAAUUUUAUAUUUUAAUGCUAUUAUAAAUAGUAUUAUUUUUAAAAUUUAAAUUCCUAACAGUUUAUUUGUAACAUAUAGAAUUACAAUUGAUUUUUGUAUGUCAAUCAUGUGUCCUGCAAUAUGGGAAAACUCACUCACUGGUGUCAGUAAUGUUGCAAUGGAUUUCACCUGGUUUUCUACACAGAUGAUUAUGUCUGUGAAUAAAGACAAUUUUACUUAUUUCUUUUCAGUCUAGAUGCCAUUUAUUUUCCUCCCUCCCUUCCUCUCUUCCACUCUUCCUUGCUUCCUUCCCUCCUUUCUUCCUUCUCCUGACUCCCUUUUAAAAGUGAUUACAGUGGCUCGAAUUUCCAGUACAUUGUUGAAUAGAAGUGGUAAGAGCUGACAUGCAAGUCUUAUUCUUGGUCUUAGGGGAAAACAUUCAGUCUUUCAUCAUUAUGUAAGAUGUUAGCAUUACGUAUUUUUAAAAAGCCUUUUGACAUAUUCAGGAAAUUCUCCUGUAUUCACAGUUUGCUGAGAUUUUUUUUUUUUUCUUGGAGAUGGAGUUUCACUCUCAUUGCCCAGGCUGGAGUGUAGUGGCCCAAUCUCAGCUCACCACAACCUCCGCCUCCCAGGUUCAAGCGAUUCUCCUGCCUCAGCCUCAUGAAUAGGUGGGAUUAGAGGCAAGCACCACCACACCAGCUAAUUUUGUAUCUUUUUAGUAGAGACAGGGUUUCUCCAUGUUGGUCAGGAUGGUGUCAAUAUCCCAACCUCAGGUGAUUUGCCUGCCUCAACCUCCCAAAGUCCUGGGAUUACAUGUGUGAACCACCGCACCUGGCCCCACUGAGAUUAUUUUUUUAAUGAAAAAUGUUCAAUUUUCUCAUGUUUUUUCUGUAUCUAAUACAUACGGUUUUUAUUUUUUAAUAUUGUUAAUAUAAGAUUGAUUUGGGGGAGAAGGUUAAGUUCAUAUUUUUAAUUCAAAGUAAUUUUUAAAUGUAGCUUUUUCUUGAAAUUUUUUAGUUUAAAUCUUCUGUUUAAAAGACUAAGCAUUGUCAAUUAUUUUUUAAACUUCUGGUGAAAUAUAUAUAAUAUAAAAUUUCACAUUUCAACAAUUUUUAGCUCCAUAGUUCAAUAGCAUUAAAUACAUUUACAAUGUCGUACAAUAAUCAACAUUAUUAAUUUCUAGAACUUUUCAUAAUCCCUAACAGAAACUCUGUAUGCAUUAAAUAAUAUCUUCCCAUAGUCUCUCUCCUUAUCCCUAGUAACCUCUAUUAUACUUUCUGUCUCUGUGAAUUUACCCAUGCCAGGUAUAGUAUAUAAGUAAAAUCAUGAUAUAGUGGCUUUUUGUGUCUGGGUUAUUUCACUUACCAUAAUGUUUUCAAGGCUCAUCUGUAUUGUACAGCAUGUAUCAGUAGAUUGUUUCCUCUUAUUUGUGAUUAAUAUUCUAUUGCAGAGAAAUACCACAUUUUAUUUAACAGUUGAUGGACAUUUGUAUUGUUUCCAGGUUUUUACUAUUAUGAAUAAUGCACUAUGGACAUGUAUGUAGACAUGUUUCUCUUGGGUAACCACUCAGGUGGGAAUCUAAGUCAAAUGGUAACUAUGUUUAAUCUCAAGAAACUGUCAGGCUGUUGAUUCAAUACAGCUGUAUAAUUUUACAUUUCCAGGAGCAGUGUUUGAGGGUUCCAAUUUCUCCACAUCUUUUGCAGUAUUUUUUUUCAUCUUUUUUAUUACAGGCAUUCUAGUGGUGUUAAGUGGUACCUCGUUGUUUUGAUUUGCGUUUCCCUUUGAUGUUGAGCAUGACUUACUUCUUGUGGUUACUGGCCAGUUGUCAUUUCUUAGAUGAAAUACCUGGUCAUUAUCUUUUGUCCAUGUUUUAACUGAUUGCCUUUUUCUUGUUGAUUUGUAAGAUUUCUUUAUAUAUUCUGAACAAGAAUGUAUUUUUUUACAGAUUUUUUAAUAAACUUCGUUC
rnacentral:lncRNA from 1 species